GGUCCGUUGGUGUAAUUCGGGCAGCACACCUGGUUCUCAACCAGACGGCGCGAGUUCAAAUCUCGUACGGACUA
rnacentral:tRNA from 1 species